GGAGGGUUAGCUCAGUGGUAGAGUACGUGCUUAGCAUGCACGAGGUCCUAAGUUCAAUCCCCAGUACUGCCA
rnacentral:tRNA from 1 species